GGUGCGAGCGUUGUCCGGAAUUACUGGGCGUAAAGGGCUCGUAGGUGGUUUGUCGCGUCGUCUGUGAAAUUCCGGGGCUUAACUCCGGGCGUGCAGGCGAUACGGGCAUAACUUGAGUACUGUAGGGGUAACUGGAAUUCCUGGUGUAGCGGUGAAAUGCGCAGAUAUCAGGAGGAACACCGAUGGCGAAGGCAGGUUACUGGGCAGUUACUGACGCUGAGGAGCGAAAGCAUGGGUAGCGAACAGGAUUAGAUACCCUGGUAGUCCAUGCCGUAAACGGUGGGCGCUAGGUGUGAGGGUCUUUUCACGACUUUCGUGCCGUAGCUAACGCAUUAAGCGCCCCGCCUGGGGAGUACGGCCGCAAGGCUAAAACUCAAAGGAAUUGACGGGGGCCCGCACAAGCGGCGGAGCAUGUGGAUUAAUUCGAUGCAACGCGAAGAACCUUACCUGGGCUUGACAUACACCGGAUUGGGCUAGAGAUAGUCUUUCCCUUUGUGGCUGGUGUACAGGUGGUGCAUGGUUGUCGUCAGCUCGUGUCGUGAGAUGUUGGGUUAAGUCCCGCAACGAGCGCAACCCUUGUCUUAUGUUGCCAGCAUUUGGUUGGGGACUCAUGAGAGACUGCCGGGGUCAACUCGGAGGAAGGUGGGGAUGACGUCAAAUCAUCACUGCCCCUUAUGUCCAGGGCUUCACACAUGCUACAAUGGUCGGUACAACGCGCAGCGACACUGUGAGGUGGAGCGAAUCGCUGAAAGCCGGCCUUAGUUCGGAUUGGGGUCUGCAACUCGACCCCAUGAAGUCGGAGUCGCUAGUAAUCGCAGAUCAGCAAUGCUGCGGUGAAUACGUUCCCGGGCCUUGUACACACCGCCCGU
rnacentral:rRNA from 1 species